CAGCACCUCAAGUGGUCAGGAUGAUUAUUGGGCCUAAAGCAUCCGUAGCCGGCGCUGUAAGUUUUCGGUUAAAUCUGUACGCUCAACGUACAGGCUGCCGGGAAUACUGCAGCGCUAGGGAGUGGGAGAGGUAGACGGUACUCGGUAGGAAGGGGUAAAAUCCUUUGAUCUAUUAAUGACCACCUGUGGCGAAGGCGGUCUACCAGAACACGUCCGACGGUGAGGGAUGAGAGCUGGGGGAGCAAACCGGAUUAGAUACCCGUGUAGUCC
rnacentral:rRNA from 1 species